GACGAACGCUGGUGGCGUGCUUAACACAUGCAAGUCGAACGGGAUUUAGUAAACAGAAGCCUCGGUGGAAGAUUACUAAUGAGAGUGGCGAACGGGUGAGUAACGCGUGAGCAACCUGCCUAUGACAGUGGGAUAGCCUCGGGAAACCGGGAUUAAUACCGCAUAAAAUCGUAGAAACACAUGUUUUAACGGUCAAAGAUUUAUCGGUCAUAGAUGGGCUCGCGUCUGAUUAGCUAGUUGGUGAGAUAACAGCCCACCAAGGCGACGAUCAGUAGCCGGUCUGAGAGGAUGAACGGCCACAUUGGAACUGAGACACGGUCCAAACUCCUACGGGAGGCAGCAGUGGGGAAUAUUGCACAAUGGGGGAAACCCUGAUGCAGCGACGCCGCGUGAACGAAGAAGGUAUUCGUAUCGUAAAGUUCUGUCCUAUGGGAAGAUAAUGACAGUACCAUAGAAGAAAGCUCCGGCUAAAUACGUG
rnacentral:rRNA from 1 species